UGUCCCACACGCGGGCAGCAGUGUCCUGCGGGCGGGGGCAGUUGGGAUAGCCUUUGAUCACCCGCUGCUAUGCUCUGCAAAGCAGCUGGUGAUCACUGAGUACAUGCUGCGCGCACGCUCACGGCAUGUAAUCAGUGCUAGGAGGGGAGCGGAGGCUGCUCAGUUGCUUGGGGAGCACUGGGCACGCCCCCAAAAGGCAGAAGAAUGGUCCGUUUGGCAAGGCCACGCCCACCACAUAUGAGGCCACGCCCACCACGAGCGAGGCCACACACCCUUUUCGGGUUGGCACGCGGCAUCGCCGCGCGCUAGUCCCAAUUUCACCACCACGAAAGUUGGGAGGCUUGACCUAUUGCACCAAUCCUACACAGUGUGUCCAAGAUGGCUGCCUCACCUCGUACCAUUUGUGGGUAGAAUAUAUAACCCAUGGAAGUUAUUAUCCAAAAUGUCUGCACCAACCGGACGCUGACAGUGUGUGUCUGAACCAGUCCCGGAUCCACUACCAGUUUGCCGUGCAGCAACAAGAGGAUAUCCCCAGCACUCACCAAUACAAAUGAGGACAUUCUAAGUCUAACAUGGACUCUCAUGUAUGGAAGCCUUUCCACCUCUAAAGUGGUGACCGGUACAUAUCCAAACAACCGAACUGUGCUAAUCUAACCAAACCUCUAUGGAAUUAGUGGACUUAUCUGGGCAUAUUAUACAGGAACAGACACCGAGUGAUCCCAUUCUAUACAGAAAUAUCAACUGAAUGUGGUGUAUGUAAUUUAUUUUAUACAAUUGUGAGGAGAGUAAUUGCUAAUUUUAGUAGUUGUAUUGGUUUUACUAUAAUAAA